GAAUAAUGCCCAAUGCCAGCAACUGAGGCAAUAGGAGGAAGAUCACUCUCAAAGCAGACACAACAUAAUUUUAAUAUUAUAUAACUAAAAAUUAUCUAAUCUAAAAUUUACAUAUGUGAUGCUGACACAAAUAGGAAAAUGAUAUACUCGAUUAAACUGAAGCUAUCAUCGUACAUUAAAUGGUUUGCCUGUCCUGAGUAAACUUUCACUACAAAUAAGCUUUAAAAUUCUGUACAAGCAUCUGAUUUCAUUGUUAGCAUAUAAUGAUGAUUUGUAAAUAACAGGAAUAGUGAACAAAAUUGUAAAAGCACCUUUGCUUUAAAGCUUGGACAUAUACUAUUGAAGAUAUAGUAAGAGUUUCCUAUAUAAUGGACCGUAGAAAAUGUGGUAUAAAAAAUGAUACCAUUUUAUGAAUGGUAUAAGCAAAUUAUUUAAUGAAAAGGAAAAAUUAUUAUUUCGUUUCUGUAUUUUAACGAAAUUAAUUAUUUAGUCUUUUUAUUUUA
rnacentral:misc_RNA from 1 species